rnacentral:RNase_P_RNA from 1 species
GGAGCGGGGCGGAUGGCCGCGCCCGCGGAUGCGGGUGAGGAAAGUCCGGGCUCCACAGGGCAGGAUGCUGGGUAACGCCCAGGCGGGGAAACCCGACGGAAAGUGCCACAGAAAAUAGACCGCCAGCGGCCCCUUAUGGGGUGCGGGCAAGGGUGAAAAGGUGGGGUAAGAGCCCACCGCACCUCCGGCGACGGAGGUGGCACGGCAAACCCCAUCCGGAGCAAGGCCAAAUAGGGAGGCGCUUGAGGGUGGCCCGCCCGAUGCCUCCGGGUAGGCCGCAGGAGGCGUCCGGUAACGGACGUCCCAGACCGAUGGCCAUCGGCCCUUAGGGCUACAGAACCCGGCUUAUAGCCCCGCUCCCCUC